rnacentral:rRNA from 1 species
ACGCUCGACACCUACGGGAGCAGCAGUGGGGAAUAUUGGGCAAUGGGCGCAAGCCUGACCCAGCAACGCCGCGUGAAGGAAGAAGGCCCUCGGGUUGUAAACUUCUUUUAACAGGGACGAAGCAAGUGACGGUACCUGUUGAAUAAGCCACGGCUAACUACGUGCCGGCAGCCGCGGUAAUCUGAGCGGGCUGGCAAGGC